UACGUAGGGCGCAAGCGUUGUCCGGAAUACUGGGCGUAAAGCGUGCGCAGGCGGUGAUGUAAGACAGGUGUGAAAUCCCCGGGCUCAACCUGGGAAUGGCAUUCGGGACUGCAAGGCUGGAGUGCGGCAGAGGAGACUGGAAUUCCUGGUGUAGCAGUGAAAUGCGUAGAUAUCAGGAGGAAUACCGAUGGCGAAGGCAGGUCUCUGGGCUGACACUGACGCUCAUGCACGAAAGCGUGGGGAGCAAACAGG
rnacentral:rRNA from 1 species